UUUCCGUAGGUGAACCUGCGGAAGGAUCAUUAUUGAAUGAACUUGGUGUGGUUGUUGCUGGCCCCCCUCAAGGGGGCAUGUGCACGCCCGCCAUCCUCAUCUCUUCACCCUGUGCACCUUUUGUAGGCUUGGAUAGAUUUUUUUUCCGAGGCAACUCGGUCGGGAGGAAUGCUGUGCGCAAGCCGGCUUUCUUUGCAAUUUUUCCAAGUUUAUGUUUUUCAUAUACCCCAUUAGUACGUAACAGAAUGUCAUUGGGCGCUUAGCGCCUAUAAGGUUUAUACAACUUUCAGCAACGGAUCUCUUGGCUCUC
rnacentral:misc_RNA from 1 species